UUUUCUUUUUUUUCCUUUUUUUUUUUUUGGUAAAAAGAAUCUUCCGAUAAAAGAAUAUUAAAAGAUAUUAAAAGAAUAUUAAAUUAUUAUCUAAAUCUAAAGUAGUAUCGGUAGGGAAUAUUUUAGUCAUUUGCUCGUGUUUUCUCGAAAUAUACUUGUAACACAAGUAGAGAUCAUUAAUUAUUCGAUACUACAUGCCACAGAAGUGGUCCGUGUUCGCCUGCAAUUGGCCUGGGGUCCUGAUUA